UCAUCCAGCAAUGUCUGUAUCUAAAACACUAUGAUCAUACAGCAAUGUCUGUAUCUAAAACACCAUGAUCAUCCAGCAUUGUCUGUAUUCUGUAAGCAUCUAUAUUUAAGGAGCUCUCAGUUUCAACCACUUAAGGUGAGCUUAAACAUGUAGGAAUUUGAGCCAAGAAGUGGAUUAUAUAAAACUUUAAACACAAGUUCAAAGGCUUAGAGGUGCAGCUGAGGCGGUAGAGUGUUUACGCAGGGUGACAGAUUCAAUCCCCGGAGCUCAUGGUGGUGGUGCUGCACACCUACAGUUGGACAAUAGUGACAGGAGGAUCGCAAGUUCAACGUCAUCCAUGACCACAUAGAGAGCUCAAAAUCAGUCCGGGCAACAUGAGACCUUACCUCAAAAUACAACGAAGAUCUCUUAAGACUUUCCCUCAGCAGCCCUUCUCAGUGUGGCUUCUCUCUCCUGUGGAGACUGACAAGGAGGGUCUCUGGUAAUCAAGAAGAGCAGCUGGGAGCCAGAAUGCCGGCUCAGCAGGUGAAGGUGCGUGCCACCAAACCUGACAACCUGGCUCAGCUUCAACGCGUGGGACCCACAUGGCAGAAGAGAACCAGCUCUAAGUUGUCCUCUGACAAAUGCAUAAUAAAUAAAUAAAUAAAUAAAUAAAUAAAUAAAUAAAUAAAUAUAAAUGCACUUCUUAAAAAGAUGUGGUCCCUGAGGACUCAUAAAUAAAAGAAAUAGAUGUACAUUUGUAGGCACUGAAUUUUUAUUCUAUUUGUUACAGUAACAGAUUCAACACUAAUUAAUAAAGUUAUAGUUUUCCAAUUA